rnacentral:rRNA from 1 species
AGUGAACGCUGGCGGUAGGCCUAACACAUGCAAGUCGAACGGCAGCACAGUAAGAGCUUGCUCUUACGGGUGGCGAGUGGCGGACGGGUGAGGAAUACAUCGGAAUCUACUUUUUCGUGGGGGAUAACGUAGGGAAACUUACGCUAAUACCGCAUACGACCUACGGGUGAAAGCAGGGGAUCUUCGGACCUUGCGCGAUUGAAUGAGCCGAUGUCGGAUUAGCUAGUUGGCGGGGUAAAGGCCCACCAAGGCGACGAUCCGUAGCUGGUCUGAGAGGAUGAUCAGCCACACUGGAACUGAGACACGGUCCAGACUCCUACGGGAGGCAGCAGUGGGGAAUAUUGGACAAUGGGCGAAAGCCUGAUCCAGCCAUACCGCGUGGGUGAAGAAGGCCUUCGGGUUGUAAAGCCCUGUUGUUGGGAAAGAAAAGCAGUAGGUGAAUACCCCGCUGUUCUGACGGUACCCAAAGAAUAAGCAACGGCUAACUUCGUG